UAACGAACGAGACUCUGGCAUGCUAAC
rnacentral:piRNA from 6 species